rnacentral:lncRNA from 1 species
CCAUUUUUAUCAAGUGAUCGGCUUGAUUGAUUUUAUUUGACAGAUGCGAGGCAUCCGUAAGAAAAUAAUAUACAAAAAUAAUGCUGACUUCCUCGUGGGUAUGGAAACCAUCUGAGGAAAUUCAGACACCGCAAAAUAAUUUACAAGCUGCUUACAGCUGAAAAUGUCCAUCACGGGAACCGAAUCUAGAUCCAAUGGGAUGAAUCUGUGAUCAC